rnacentral:lncRNA from 1 species
GGCAUGGCAGCCAGUUCUGUAAGUUUUCCCACCAAGGUAGAAGGUUUAACAAGGGCUCCUUCCAGAGCCACUUGCAGGUACCAUUUCCAUUGUACUACUGUGGGUUCCAUUGGUAGUCCCUGCAAUUGUUCUCCAGGUGUUCUUAUCCACUGUAACAGUGGAACAGGUGUCUGGCCAUGUAGGCAGUGAUUCUCUACAGCAAAAUCCAGGCCUUGAAUAGCCUUGCAAAAUGUCCAGGCUGACUUUUCAAAUAAUGAGUAUCUAUUGGAUGCCUAAGGAAAGCGUUUACAGUGGAAGCCAAUGGGUCUGGUUUAACCAGUAGACUUGGCUUAUCAUCCCCAAGUCCUAUAAUCAUUACAAAAUAAAAUAUCAAUCACAAUAAUAUCUCCUGGCUUAGGGGCAUAUAGCUGGGCAUAUAUUUUAAGGUAUUCAAUCUCCAUAUGAAAUGCUUGUUUUUGAGAAUGGCCUCACAUGAAAUCAGCUGCUUUCCUGGAAAUAGAAUAUAUAGGUUGUGAGAUCAACUGUAAAAAUGGGAUAUGACGUCUCCAGUACCCAAAAGACCAACUUAAUGUUGAGCUUCGGUCUUAUUUGUGGGCUCCAUGAUCAUAGCUAGUUUAUCCUUAACCUGUUCUGGUAUGGAUGGGCCAACAGCUGUCCAUUGUACUCCCAAGAAUUUAAUAUUCUUCGUCAGGCCCUGUACUUUAUCAGGGUUAAUCGUCCAUCCACAAGAGGUUAAGUUUGGACUAAAAAUUUUGUAAAUUGAGAGACUUCAUUGUCAUGUCCAAUUAUAAUGAUAUCAUCUACAUAUGACAACACUUUGAUUUUGUUGGGUAUUUUGUCAUGAGGGAGAGUAGGCCGUAGGACAGCACGGACAAUAAUAGGGCUGUUUAUGUAACCCUGUGGCAUCCUCUUAAGCCUAUACUGUUUAGUGUUCCAGGUGAAUGUAGUAAUUUCCCUAGAGGCUUCGAGCAGGGGAAUAGUGAAAAACAUACCAGAAAGAUCUAUCACUACGAACAGGGUGAAAUUGUUUAAUCUCAUAGAAGACACCUUCCACUUCCGGUAAUGAUCCAGGCAUCUGUGGAGAGAGCUUGUUAAUAUUACGAAAAUCUACUGUAAAUCUCCAAGAACUAUUUGGUUUCUUAAGG